rnacentral:rRNA from 1 species
UAGNUAAUUUUUAAAGGUAAUUUCUGCCCUAUGAUUAUUUAAAUGGCUGCAGUAUUCUGACUGUGCAAAGGUAGCGUAAUAAUUAGUCUUUUAAUUGAAGGCUUGUAUGAAUGGAUAAAUGAGAAAUUCUUUUUAUUAAUUUUAUUUUUGUAAUUUGAUUUUUAAGUAAAAAAGCUUAAUUUUUUUUUUGGGACGAUAAGACCCUAUAGAACUUUAAUAGUUUAGUAUAUUUUAUUUUUUUUUAGUUUAAUUAUUUUUUAUUAUUAAAAUUAUUUUUGUUGGGGCGACAAAUAAAUUUAACUUUAUUUUUUUUUUUCAUUUAUUUAUGUUAUUUUGAUCCUUAAUAAAGAUUAUAAGAUUAAGUUACCUUAGGGAUAACAGCGUAAUUUUAAUGGGGAGUUCUUAUUUAUAUUAAAGUUUGCGACCUCGAUGUUGAAUUAAGAUAAGAUUGAGGGGUAG